GACGAACGCUGGCGGCGUGCUUAACACAUGCAAGUCGAACGCUGAAGCACCAGCUUGCUGGUGUGGAUGAGUGGCGAACGGGUGAGUAAUACGUGAGUAACCUGCCCUUGACUCUGGGAUAAGCCCGGGAAACUGGGUCUAAUACUGGAUGCUACAUGUCACCGCAUGGUGGUGUGUGGAAAGGGUUUACUGGUCUUGGAUGGGCUCACGGCCUAUCAGCUUGUUGGUGAGGUAAUGGCUCUCCAAGGCGACGACGGGUAGCCGGCCUGAGAGGGUGACCGGCCACACUGGGACUGAGACACGGCCCAGACUCCUACGGGAGGCAGCAGUGGGGAAUAUUGCACAAGGGGCGAAAGCCUGAUGCAGCGACGCCGCGGGAGGGAUGACGGCCUUCGGGUUGUAAACCUCUUUCAGCAGGGAAGAAGCCACAAGUGACGGUACCUGCAGAAGAAGCGCCGGCUAACUACGUG
rnacentral:rRNA from 1 species